rnacentral:rRNA from 1 species
CCUACGGGUGGCUGCAGUGGGGAAUAUUGCACAAUGGGCGCAAGCCUGAUGCAGCCAUGCCGCGUGUGUGAAGACGGCCUUCGGGUUGUAAAGCACUUUCAGCGGGGAGGAAGGCGUUAAGGUUAAUAACCUUGGCGAUUGACGUUACCCGCAGAAGAAGCACCGGCUAACUCCGUGCCAGCAGCCGCGGUAAUACGGAGGGUGCAAGCGUUAAUCGGAAUUACUGGGCGUAAAGCGCACGCAGGCGGUCUGUCAAGUCGGAUGUGAAAUCCCCGGGCUCAACCUGGGAACUGCAUUCGAAACUGGCAGGCUAGAGUCUUGUAGAGGGGGGUAGAAUUCCAGGUGUAGCGGUGAAAUGCGUAGAGAUCUGGAGGAAUACCGGUGGCGAAGGCGGCCCCCUGGACAAAGACUGACGCUCAGGUGCGAAAGCGUGGGGAGCAAACAGGAUUAAAUACCCCAGUAGUC